rnacentral:rRNA from 1 species
GACGAACGCUGGCGGCGUGCCUAACACAUGCAAGUCGAGCGAGUGAAUCUCCUUCGGGAGUGAAGCUAGCGGCGGACGGGUGAGUAACACGUGGGCAACCUGCCUCAUAGAGGGGAAUAGCCUUUCGAAAGGAAGAUUAAUACCGCAUAAGAUUGUAGCUUCGCAUGAAGUAGCAGUUAAAGGAGCAAUUCGAUAUGAGAUGGGCCCGCGGCGCAUUAGCUAGUUGGUGAGGUAACGGCUCACCAAGGCGACGAUGCGUAGCCGACCUGAGAGGGUGAUCGGCCACAUUGGGACUGAGACACGGCCCAGACUCCUACGGGAGGCAGCAGUGGGGAAUAUUGCACAAUGGGGGAAACCCUGAUGCAGCAACGCCGCAUGAGUGAUGACGGCCUUCGGGUUGUAAAGCUCUGUCUUCAGGGACGAUAAUGACGGUACCUGAGGAGGAAGCCACGGCUAACUACGUGCCAGCCGCCGCCGUAACAC